AUCCAGCUGAAAAGUUCCAAAUAGGACAAAACGCGCGUCUUGGAU
rnacentral:hammerhead_ribozyme from 1 species